GCUGGGUGGUUAACGACACCUGUAAUCCGAGUGGAGGCAGGGUGUUCGAAGGGCUUGGGUUCGCGAACGGACCUCAGUCGCAUACCGAUCAUGGCUCCGCUUCAAGCCAGUGGUCCGCAGCGGGUUCUUCCGGAGGGGAGAAGUCGUGGUGGAUAGUGAGACGGGAAUCGCAUCAGGCGGGAAACCGAGCAGUGCAAACCGUCCGCCGCUGGCAGUGAAGGGAUAGGCUGUGUGAGUGCUGCUGGGGAGCCUCCGCGCGUGAGUUCAUGUUCGACGUGCAUCCAU
rnacentral:SRP_RNA from 1 species